UACGGGGGGGGCAAGCGUUGUUCGGAAUUAUUGGGCGUAAAGGGCUCGUAGGCGGCCAACUAAGUCAGAUGUGAAAUCCCUCGGCUUAACCGGGGAACUGCAUCUGAUACUGGAUGGCUUGAGUUCGGGAGAGGGAUGCGGAAUUCCAGGUGUAGCGGUGAAAUGCGUAGAUAUCUGGAGGAACACCGGUGGCGAAGGCGGCAUCCUGGACCGACACUGACGCUGAGGAGCGAAAGCCAGGGGAGCAAACGGG
rnacentral:rRNA from 1 species